rnacentral:tRNA from 23 species
UAGAUGGAAGCUCGUUGGUUUUGGGCGCUUAGCUGUUAACUAAGAGUUUGCAGGAUCGAGGCCUGUCUAUCUAG